AUGCUGCGAAACGAUGAGGAUGCCAAAUUCUGGGUAGAUAACUGGCUGCCUGGUGGGAGAUCGAUUGCCACCACCGCACCGGCACUAUACUCCUAUGUCAAGGACAUGGACAGUUCUGUAAGAGAGGCAUUGCUAAACAACGCCUGGAUCCGUGAUAUCCAAGGAGGCAUCUCCUCGCGAGCCUUGGCCUAACACCUAGUGGUGUGGGACGUCGUACAGGGUAUGGUUCUCCUACAUGGCAGUAGGAACUGCCCAAGAUGGAGGCUGACACAGAGUGGUGUUUUCUUUGUUAGCCCGGUACACAGGAUUUUUUGA
rnacentral:rRNA from 1 species